ACGGAGGGUGCAAGCGUUAUCCGGAAUCAUUGGGUUUAAAGGGUCCGCAGGCGGACAUAUAAGUCAGUGGUGAAAGCCUACAGCUCAACUGUAGAACUGCCAUUGAUACUGUAUGUCUUGAAUUCGGUCGAAGUGGGCGGAAUAUGACAUGUAGCGGUGAAAUGCUUAGAUAUGUCAUAGAACACCGAUAGCGAAGGCAGCUCACUAGGCCUGGAUUGACGCUCAGGGACGAAAGCGUGGGGAGCAAACAGG
rnacentral:rRNA from 1 species